rnacentral:misc_RNA from 1 species
AUGCAUCUGUGUGUUUAUCCAAUGCCUAUUACCAUUUUUUUUAACUAUUUCCCCACUUUGUUGCCAUUGCUGCUGUCGCUGAAACUUGCUAUGUUUGUAGUUGUUUAAGUUAUCUUAAGAGUGUUAAUGUUUAUGCUUCUUAUUUAGUUUGAAUGAAUUUAGACAAUGUACAUAACUACCUUCUCAAUACUUAAAUGGGAUUUGGAAGUACUCAAAUAUGUGAAUGUCUGACUGAUAAUUUUUGGGUCAUUAAGCUUCAUUAAGAGAACAAAAGACAGUGUAAUAUAUAUUAGUUGUAAUUAUGCGCCGCAUUAGGUUUCUUUAUAAUCAUAUGGUACAAGACAUGAAGACAGGCCUGUGUUUGUCUUAAUUGGUCGGCUUCUAAUCCCCGUGUAGUUGUUCUAAUCUUGAAAUUGUCUAAUAUAUGCUUUUAGUUCAUUUUCCCCCUGUUCAAAAAUCUUUAGGAAGCAAAAACUCUGCUGCAAAAUUUAAUAGCAAUGUAUUAUUCCAAGGCAAUGGAAUCAAUCUUGACAGUUGACAUUGUUUAACAUGAGAAUAUAAGGCACAUUGGGAACCAUCUUCGUGGUUCGUCAUUCAUAUGCUUUUCAAAACUCCCUUUCUAACCUACAAGCAUAACUCUAGAUGCCCACUAAUCAGAACAGGAUAUCAAAACAAGAAACACUCUCAUUAUUUCUCUUGCUGAGGAUCAUAAAUUGAGAUCAAUCUGAGCUAAUACCCCACUUCCCUCCCCUCCUCCUGCCCCCCCACCCCCACCCCACCCUUCUUUUUUCUCUUUUCCCAGUUCUGCCUAGAGCUUUUAUCGUGCACUUUUUUACAAACAUAUUUGUCAUUGUUGCUGUGAUGCUGUAGAGCUGUUAGAGAUGGUACCAAGUGUGUGUAUGAAGAAAUAUGCAAAAAUAGUCCUAUUGCAACACGGCGAAUGUUGCUGACAAGUCUGUUUAUGUAUCUAUGGUAUUAUCCUACAAGGUACUUAUCAGGUCCGCACAAUUCAGCUUUAUAUUGCAGCUUAUAAUUUGCUUAAGGUCUUAAAUUUGUGUAUUUUGAUUGUGACAUUGUGUUAUCAAUUUCUCUAAGGUAGCUUGGCUUAAUGAAAUUAAAAGGCAAUAUAUCAGAUUGUUUGUUCAUUGCGUGAAAUUUAUUCACAUAAUGACCUGCAAUUUUCUUGUAAUUGAAGUUAAUUAAUUUAGUUCCACAAAAAAUAUAUAAUAAAGAAGAAUAAAUAAAUCAAUGUGACUGUAACAAUGAAGUAAUUAGCUGGUAUGACAUUAACAUUAUCUGGUGAGUGAACUUUGGUAGCAGGGUCGGACGAAAUUUAUUAAAAUGCAUCUGAAAUUUUUUAAAACAUACAUCCAUGUACUCAGAUGCCAUAUUCAGGAUUAUGUUCCCUGUAGAAUAGUUGUCAUUUGAAUGAAUAAUGUGUCAUUUGAAUUAAUGCAGGGUGAUUUUGUCAUGUACCUUUCAUUGUUUUGUGAUUGUAUUUGUACUUAUCAGUGCUUUGCUGCUGCACAUGUGAUAAUUUGUUGACAAAUAGCCCAAGCACUUGGGGAUCCAUCUGUGACAAUUGAAGAAGUAACUCCACCCGUUUUUGCUUCUGGAGCACUCUUCCCUACCGAGGAAAGAACUGUCCAACUCUUUGAAAAGAAUACAUACUCUGUUGUCAACAUUUUUGAUGUGACAUUGCGCCCACAACUAAAUGUAACUGGUGUAGUUGAGGUAUUUUCACAAUCAAAUGUUCUCUUUGUACUGUUGAUUCUCAGGAAUUUAAACCAAACUCAUAUAGAAGGCUAGAAGUCUGACAAGGACAUGAAAUUUCUGCCAAAUUAAGUGGAGCACAAGAUUUUAUUGUUUUGACAUGCUUUGUGCUUGUUAUUGUUCUUUUAAAUGCUAUUUCAUUCCUGGGGAACCCAUUUGCAGAUUCCUGAAGGAAAUGGUUCUGGAGUAGUUUGGGAUGCACAAGGACACAUUGUGACAAAUUACCAUGGUAAGAACUACGUAAGGAGCUUAGAGAACAAAAUACUGCCAUGAGUUAUUUUGCUAGAAGUCCUGGUACAGUAGAUAGGUACCUUUUGCUGUGAUCUAUUCUGUCAAGUAAAACAACAUAAUGUCAGGUUUUUUCAAUUUUAUUGUUGGAUAUUUUCUGCCUGUCUAUAGAAAUCUUCAUUCUUUCUUGGUUUACUGUAUUAUUUUCUUCUUUUUCUUCUUCUGCUUUCUUUUCCCUUUUUCUUCUUUUUCUUAACAUUACUUCACCUUUAGGGUAUGAAAAUCAGGCUUUUUGGCAUAAAGUGCAUGUGCUAAGCAAAAUAUUUUGAUUUGAUUAGAUGCUGGUGACUGGUGGCUCCUUUUAAGAUCAAUGGAUGGACUUAAUUUCAACGCUAAUGCUCUUUCUUCGUAAUGCUAGUGAUAGGCAAUGCACUUUCAAGACAUCCAAGCUCUGGGCAAGUUGUUGCACGAGUUAAUAUUCUUACAUCAGAAGGGUGAGAUUUGCGAAGCCUUAUAAUUUCUGUGUAAACUGAACUGCAUUACUUGGUCAAAAUCGUUUUCACAUAUGGGAAAACUAUUUAUGAUUAUUGCUGUUUGCCAUCAAUUUCUAUGUUUCUUCAAAAGGGUACAGAAGAACUUUGAGGGUAAAUUGAUUGGUGCUGAUCGUACCAAGGACCUUGCUGUCUUGAAGGUAGAAGCAUCUAAAGAUUUGUUGAGGCCAAUUAAGGUGGGGCAAUCUUCUUCUCUGAGAGUUGGGCAGCAGUGUCUUGCAAUUGGAAAUCCAUUUGGCUUUGAUCAUACUCUUACCGUAGGGGUAAUCAGUGGAUUGAAUCGGGACAUUUUUAGUCAAACUGGAGUUACAAUUGGUGGUGGAAUCCAGACAGAUGCGGCCAUCAAUCCAGGGAAUAGCGGAGGUCCUCUAUUGGAUUCUAAAGGAAAUCUAAUUGGAAUUAAUACGGCAAUUUUUACUCAGACAGGGACAUCAGCUGGUGUAGGGUUUGCCAUUCCAUCCUCAACAGUGCUCAAGAUUGUACCUCAGUUAAUUCAGUUUGGUAAAGUUGUUCGAGCUGGUUUGAACGUGGAAAUUGCUCCUGAUCUGGUUUCAAAUCAACUAAACAUUAGAAAUGGAGCUCUCAUCCUGCAGGUUCCAGGGAAUAGUCUUGCAGCGAAGGCCGGGUUACUCCCUACUACAAGGGGCUUUGCUGGAAAUAUUGUACUUGGGGAUAUUAUUAUUGCAGUGGAUAACAAACCUGUAAGCUCCCUCUUGCCGAAACUACUCUUUUGCCUUUUUGUCAAUUCUAUUCGUAUUUUGAGCUGCAUGAUUAAUCAUUUACUUGUUCAAGCUGCCUUCUGACCCAUUUUAAACAUGUAAACCUGCAUAGAUUGUCCGGAUUCUGGACUUAAAAACGUAAAUAGGUGAUUGAUAGCAUUGCAUAAAAUCAAAAUGCGGAAUAAAGAGGUAUCUCCUUAAUUUUGUUUUGGAUAGCAGGGGAGAAUGGAUUUUCAACCACUAGAUUUGAACCCUUGCUUUUUCUCCGAAUGAACUUCUCUUUUUUAACUAGGCCUAGACUCAACAUAUUUGUUGAUGACUUCAUGCUAAUUUCUUUCAUCAGGUCAAAAGCAAAGCAGAGCUAUACAAAGUGUUGGAUGACUAUAAUGUAGGGGAUACAGUAGUGUUGAAGAUUCAGAGGGGUGGUGAUAAUUUAGAGCUACCUAUCACUCUAGAGGAGAAAAGUUCAUGACAGGGCCUACUGAUAGUCAUUUGUAUAUUUCC